UGUCCCUCCUUGCAGAGUUAUUUCUAGUUAAUACAUUAUGCAGAAGGUAUAAGGGCUUGUCUUUGCUCUUUAGUGCUUGGUAUAGUUCUUUCAUGUUUCCC